AUGUAAAUGUGCAUUCCUCGAUUUAGCCGCUAGUGUUAUCGAAGAGCGAGAAAGGGACGAAAUAUUUUCAAGGCCGUUUCGCGAGGCGUAUCUGACGAAUAAAGUUGUUUGUCCGAUGGCUGAAUGCCUGGAAAACUUUCGUUUUUUUAAAGAAAGUGGACUUGCGCAUCAUUUCCGCACUGUUCACAACCGACAGAUGGUGCCGCAAGAUAC